AUUUAAUGGCCAUUUGGCCAUUUUGGCCCUUUGCUCCUGCACAAACGCUUAACACAUCAGAUCUGAGACAGAGAGAGAUAGAGAGAUAUCCUGAAGAUAUGGAAUACACAAAACUCAAUGCCAAUGAUCAGGAUGAAAAUGGCAAAGGUCGGAAUGCUCUUUCAGUGACUAAUAAUGUGCCCACUUUGGGAGGUACCACCAUUGACUGGUCCAAAUGGAAGCUCAAGUGGAGACUUUGAAAUGUGGGUUAUCACUUUUAGCCUUGGCAAGAAUAUAAAGAAGUGAAGGUGUUACUGAAGAUAACAGUCAGCAAGAAUAUAACUUUCAAAUAUGGCGGUCUAGAUAUUCACCACAAGUACUUUCGCGUGUUCGGCUUUAUGCUACCACAGUCAGCAUGCUCAAUCUCAUAUGCAAAUAUCACUCUCAUGGGGUUUACGUGUCUGGAGUGGAUCCACAUAUAUGUAUGUAAAGGGCCAUCAAU